rnacentral:lncRNA from 1 species
GAGACCUCUCCUCAUCUGUGCAUGGACGGAUGACCAACUCUGGGGCCCAGGCUGUUGCUUCCCAGUAUAAUGAUGAAUCCGCCAUAGUCUGGUGAGUGUAGAGGCUGACUCUGGAGCCCAGGCUGUACCUUCUCGGUCUGGUGAUGAAUCCUCAAUCGUGUGAAAGAAACACAUAAUAGUGUCUUAUGAACAGAAGCCACAGUGCCUUAUGAACAGAAGCCAUAUCUGUGUUCAGACACUGGCCAGAAAAGACGGUGGG